rnacentral:misc_RNA from 1 species
GGCACUCCCAGCGCGCGCGCCCCCCACCCAUCGGUGCUUGGCUGCCGCGCCCAUGCAUGCAUUGGGCCGAUGUCGGGUCCCGUGGGCUGGUUUCCUGUCGGUGCGGAAAACUAUCGGCUGGGUUGUCCCGCUUCCGUCCCGUUCGGUGGCUUCGAAAGGAAAUGCUGCGCGGGGUGGACCAAGAAGCGCCCGUCGUGCUCGGCGCCCUCGCACCUCCGUCGGGUGCCUGGGUCGGCGAUGCACGGCGACGUGCUAGAUGCCUCGGGUGCGGAAAAUUGAGCGGCCUCCAGGCCUCGGCCUCGGAUGCCCCCCGAAUAAAUAAAAGCGUUUCCACGCUUUGCUGUGGGCGACGGCCGUGCGGGUCUCGGUCGGGAGCCUGCUUGGCUCACGGGCGUGCCCGUGCGG